UUUUUUUUUUUUGAUAAAAUUUUUAAGAUAUUAUAAUAUUAAAAAAAAUACACAUUAUUAUAUUAAUAGUAUAUUAAUUUAAAAUAAAUAUGAAUAUUGAUUUAAAAAUUAAUUAAUUUUUUUAUAAAAAUAUUGAUUUAAAUUUGAAAUCUAGUCCAAAUAUUUGGAUAUAGAUUUAAAAUUCAAUUAAAAAUUCAAAUUACUUUUAUAAAAGAAUUGGAUGUGAAUUUAAGAGUCUGAUCCGGAUUUAUAUUGGAUUAAUCCAUCGUCACCCUUACGUAGUCCAUACACUCCUGUAACCAUCAGCCGAAUGAUAUUCGCGAUAGCUAAAUCCACCCCCAAAACCAAACCCUAUAACCUCUCUCUCCCAAAUCAGUUAUAAAGAUUCUCUAUAAACAAUACACAAAUUAUAGAAAUGUAAAAAACAGCAAAAGAUAGUUGCAUUUACAAUGUACAUGACUCGUGAGAGAGUAACGAACCAAGUUUCAAGGCCAUAGAAGAUCCACACACACCCUCGAGUCCAAAGGGUUUUCCACCACAGUGUCUUUAGUUUUCUUCUCCACAGAGCCCUCGUCUUUCAAUGUUGUUUUGGCAGCAGCAGCAGCACAAGAUGAUGAGGUUAUGGUGAAAUUGGGAGGAGGGUAUGCUGCUAACAGAGCUGCAGCAUCCCACUCGUGAUUCCGAACGAGCUCUGAAAAGAGAAGCACCAGCGAAGCCAUUCAAGAUCCAGAGGAAGCUACAAUAUUCCAAUAUUGGUGAAUGUUUUGAUGGGUCGGAGAACAAGAAAUGUGUGAAGAGCUUUAUAAACAAAGUCAUUCAUCUUGUUUCUGUUGGCUCUUCUUUUAUGUCACUCGGUUUCGUAGAACCCAAAAACUAAUACACUGGUUUCUUCUGUUCCGCUGCGUCUCUUUGCCGCUGAUUUCUCUCUCUUUAUAGAAAGACUAAAUCUCAUUAAUACAAUAGUCUGAAAAUACACAAAGGUUACCACGAAAUCAAAAAUUGUUUCUUUCAUUUAUAAUGUAGUGCAUAAUUAUGAAUAUAUUCUCGCAUUCUAAGAAACUCUAAAAAAUACAUUUUUAGUAGCUAAUUAUUACAUGCUUUUGAGAAAUAUAUUUAAAAGGAUUUUAAAAAUAUAUGUGCGACCGAGGUUUUUGAUUUGAAUUGAGUUCCAACGAAACCACUAUUAUUUUUCGGCGGUUCUUGUGGGUAGAGUCAAGCUAUUCUUGUGUUCGAUUAGGAGAAAAGAAACAAAGGAAUAGAACUGAAACUAAAAGAAAAUAUCAGUUGGGAAAAAUAUAUAUAAAAAUCAAGUUAAAUAUUUAGUUACUUGAAUUGAUGUUUUUAAUGGUGUGAACAUGUUAAAAAUGAAAGUACCUGAAGAUAAAGCUCAAAAACUCAUCCAAUAAUCCAAUAGAAUAAGUGGUUUUGAAUACUCUUCUCCCAUUUACUUUAUGGGUCCUCUGAUCUUUUAUAAUGUAAGAAAAUAAUUAAUAUAUAUAUAUACAUAUAUAUAUAUAUAAUAUUCAUUAAAAUCUUAUAUGUAUCCAAAUAAAAAGUUUAUAGAAUAUAUGAUGUGAUAAGAGGAGAUAGAUAUAAAGCAAAGCAAAUAAAUAUAAAUAUUGAAUAGGUGAAUAUUAAAUAGAGGUGUAUGUUACCAUUAUUGUGUAGUUUAAUACUUCUGAUUGCACACUUAAAUUUAUUUUUAAAGAAAUGGGCUCUUUAAAUUACAAUUGACACUUAAAAUUAUUAAAAGAAUGUUAUCUUUCACUUUAAUAAAUUAAUUUUUGUCAUAAUAGAGUGUGAAUAGGUUUUGUUAUGGUGUAAGGAUCACACUAAUCCAAUGACUAAUCAAGUAAAAGAGAUUUAUUAUAUUCUCUUGCCAUAUUAUUAUUACUAAUGAGGGGAUUUAAUAAUAAAUGUUGAUUUAAUUUAUAAUAUGGAUUGGUAUUUAGGUAAAAAAAUUAUUAAAGUAAUAAAGUCAAUUCAAAACAUAAUAAGAAACAUAAUGAAAAAAAAUAAGAAAAAAAAGGAAAUUCAUGACAUAUUUUUUAAUACUUAAUUGCAAUAGUCUCACUUUAAAUAAAGAAGAUAAAACUUUAGAAAGAAAAGAUACAAACACAAAAUGCUCUAACGUGAAAAGUAUAGUAAUCUCUUGCCAGUAUUAUUUUUACAUAGAUAGGAAAAAUUAUUCUUGCAUUACAAAGAUCAGAAACCGCAUUUAAGUAGUAUGUGCAACAGAGAAUGGUAUCGGAUCAUUGUGUUUUAGUGGUGAAGUCACGGGUUAAAGAUUGAGGCCCUAAACCAUUUAGAUCCAUUGACGUGUGGCUCAUGGAGCCAGACUUUAAGAUGUUGGUAAAGGGAAAGUGGGACCGUAUCAUGUGCAAGGUAAUAGUAUGUCUAUACUCAAAGAUAAGCUGAAGCUUCUGAAGGCGGAUCUUAAAGUGUGGAAUAGAAGUAUCUUUGGUUGUUUGGAAUCUAACAAAAAACGUAUUGUGUUGGAAAUUAAGGAGCUUGAUGGUAAGGAUGACAAUAACGUUCUUUAGGGAAAUGGUAACAUGAGAAGGAUGGAAUUGUUCAGUCAGUUGGGGUUGGUUGAUAAAAAGUUAGAUUCCAUCUAUAAACAAAAAGCAAGAGUGAACUGGUUUAAAUAUGGGGACAUUAACUCAAAGUUCUUCCACUCUGCAAUUUGAUAGAGAAGACUAAAAAAUGAGGUCAAAGGCGUCGAGGUUGACUCUCAAUGGUGUGAGGAGCCGGAAGUUGUCCGUAGGAAAGCAAAGUUAUUGUUUGAAAACAAGUUCAAGGCUACACACGACUAUGGUGUUAGUUUGGGUUCGAUGGAGUUCAAAUCAUUAACCUCGGAGGUUAGUAGGAAAAUGAUAGCUAGCUUCUCUGAGGAAGAAGUGAAGGACGCUGUGUGGCAGUGUGGAGGGGCAAAGAGUCCAGGUCCGAACGGGUUCAACUUCAAUUUCAUUAAGAACUGUUGGGACGUCAUAAAAACUGAUAUUAUGGAAGUUGUGCACUUUUUUCAUACCACGGGUCAUUCCUGAAGGGGUGUAAUGCGUCCUUCAUUGCCCUUGUUCCCAAGGUAAGGGAUCCUUCUUUGCUUGAACAGUUCAUACCCAUAUCACUUGUCGGUGCUAUCUGCAAGAUCAUUACCAAGGUUUUGUCAUGUCGUAUGAAGAAAGUUAUGCCUAUGGUCAUUGAUGUUGUCAGUCCGCCUUCCUCAGUGACAGAGGCCUAAUGGUUAGCGUUGUUAUGGCUAAUGAAGUUCUUGAUGAGAUUAGGAGGAACCGGAGGAGCGGGGUAUGGUUUAAGGUGGAUUUUGAAAAGGCGUAUGAUUUAGUCAGAUGGAGGUUUCUGUUUGACAUGCUUCGGAGGUUGGGGUUCCACAACAAGUGGAUUGUGUGGGUUAAAGGGUUUUUGGGUUCGUCUUCUGUGUCUGUUUUGGUCAACGGGAGUCCUACGAAGGAAUUCAAACCAACUAGGGGGUUGAGACAGGGUGAUCCUCUAGCUCCAUUCUUUUUCCUAGUGGUUGUUGAAGGACUAGCAGGGCUUGUAAGACAAGCAUUGAGAACGGAGGUGCUCAGGGGUGUAAAGGUAGGAAGGAACAAUAUUGAGGGUUGUCUGUUACAGUUUGCAGACGACACACUUUUUCUGUGUGAAUAUUCUUUCAACAAUAUCUUUGCUAUCAAGGUCAUCCUUCGAUGCUAUGAAAUUGUUUCAGGCCUAAAAGUUAACUUUCAUAAGUCGAAGUUGGCUAGAAUUAGCGUUGGCAGUUAUGCCCUAACCACUUAUGCGAAGACACUUAACUAUAAUACCGUGCGGUUACCCUUCCAAUACCUGGGGGUAGAAGUUGGCGGAAAUCCGAGGAAGAAACAAUUCUGGGAGCCGGUAGUAAAGAAAAUAGAAGCUAGACUAAGUUCUUGGAAAGGAAGAUUCUUAUCUAUGGCAGGUCGAAUUUGCCUGCUUAAAUUGGUAUUCACUACUAUACCAUUGUUCUACCUAUCCGUCUUCAGAGCUCCAAUAGCAGUGUGCAACAGAAUCAGUAGUAUACAAAUAAGAUUCCUUUAGGCAUGGGGAAGAGAAAACAAAGCGAUUUAUUGGGUAAGUUGGGACAAUGUUUGUAAGCCUUUUGAAGAAGGUGGGUUGGGGAUAAAAGAGAUUAGGAAUUUUAACUCUGCUCUUCUGGCGAAAUGGAAAUGGGGGAUUAUGAGUGAUGAGGGAGGGAAAUGGAAAGACAUCCUUAAAUCUAAAUAUGGCUCAGAAGCAGUCAGAAGACAGGUUGGGUUGAAAUACCAGUCGUGGUGGUGGAGGGAUUUAGCUAAAGUAAGUGGUGAAGGGGAAGAAGAAGGAUGGUUCCGUAAAGCUACAGGGUGGAAAGUCGACGAUGGGGGCACAGUCAGAUUCUGGGAGGAUGUGUGGCUACAAAACAGUAGUCUUAAAUCCUUGUAUCCUAGACUAUACUCCUUGUCUCUAGAUCAAGGUAAGACGGUGGGAGAGGUAGGAAGAUGGGAGGAUGGUAGGUGGCGGUUUUGGUUUAAUUAGAGAAGGGAUAGGUAUGAUUGGGAAUCGAAUAUGGAGGAAGAACUGCCUUCAAGACUAGCUAUGGGAAAUAUAUGUCACGAUGUUCAAGACCGUCUCAUUUGGAGGGGGGAUCCAAAAGGUGUAUUCUCGGUGAAAUCAGCCUACUCUAUUAUGGCCCAUCAUCUAGCCAAUGGCACAAUGGAUAACACUUUUGGUAUUUUGUGGCAAGUGAAAGCCAUGCCCAAAGCGCUUAUCACUGCUUUAAGAGUCCUCCUUGACAGAUUUCUAACCAGCGUUAAUCUUAUUAGGAGAGGAGUAUCUGUGAAUUCGCCUUUAUGUGCUUUGUGCAAUCUGUCAAAAGAAUCAUCUCAACACCUCUUCAUAUACUGUGUGUACACACAACGAGUAUGGUCUCGUUGCUACCGCUGGAUUGGCAUCUUGGGGGUCCAAAACAAGGUGAUCGGGAAUCACCUGGUAAACUUCUACUUAUUUCACCUAUCUAGCAAGAAAAAUCAGGUGUGGAGAGGAAUAUGGGCAGCAAUUGUUAGAUGCAUCUGGAAGCAGAGAAACCAGGUUGUUUUCAAGGGAGGGGUCCCCGACGCUGAUGAAGUACUUCAAAAUGCUCAGCUGUUGUCUUGGCUGGUUAAAACACAAGGCAACUGUUUUUUCAUAUGCAUUUUCAGACUGGAUCUUGAAUCCCAACCAAUGCCUUCUUGCAGUUCAUUGAAAGUUUUAUUUUUUAAGAUAUCUUGAGAUGGAGGUGGACUGUUAGUAGAAGCUCUUGCAUAUUCAAUGGCUCUGGAGGGCGCUGUCUGAGACAAAUUUAAUUAUACUUGUUUUGAAAUUGAUGCAAUUUCGUUGGGCCUAGACAAUGGUAAUGAAGUCGCACAUGGUAUAACACAUGUACAAAUGGUGCAGGAGUACCUUGCUAUCCCAAUAAGGAUUAUACCUAUGCUUGGUGUUACAAGAGUUAUCUUUGCAGCAUAAUUUUUUAGAUAAGCAUACCUGAAACAACUGAAAUGUGGCAGUCACAAAGGGUGGUGUAGAGGUGGAGGCAUAAAGUGGGAGAUGCAACCUUGGGGAAUGUCUAUCAACGCAGUUAAGUAGCUCCAUUAGUGAAGUCCAUGAUAUGACAUAACAAAGGAAUACAAAGCUAGAACAAUGUGGUUGUUAUGUUUUAGUUGCUGAGGCUGAUUCAGAUUUGAUGUAGGAUCUUGGUUAUGUUGGUAUGUUGGCCCUGCGCAUGCUUUUGAAUCCGUGCCUAGCCAAGUAAGGGCGUGUAAGCCAAAAUUGUAAGCAUCAAAUUAGAAUGAUGUGACAGCUUUUGUGUAGAUCUGGGCAGGAUGUGAACCUAGUGACUUAUGCAUAAAGUUUCUGCAUAAUUGAGGAAUUUGUUGCAUAAUUUUUUGAUUAAUUGUUGCAUAAUUGACGUUGGUGUUUCUUUGUCCAGCACUUAACUCUGUUCAAGUGGUUAGGUGGCGAGGAGGGAGCUCUAAAGUUGGAAUCUAGUGGUGUGUCCUAGAUACAGUUGAGGGUAUGGAAGCAAGGUUAUAUAUUAGCAUAGUUUGAUUAGAUGGUCAGCUACGGUUGCUGAUCUGGUGGGGGAGUUGGUUUGAUGUGGGAACUGGUGAAGGAAGCUGGAUACUGAUCAAAUCUUUAUGUAAUAGAGGAUUUGAGUUAUUCAACUUAGGGGAUUGUUCUGAUUCUGAAAAGACCAACAUGUUUAUUGGGAUGAUGUCUUGCACAAAGAACAUGCAGCUCAACUUCACUUUGUUAUUUAAACUGGAGACUAAAAGAUUGAGCUUGGUGAUGAGCAGGCAGGGCACUUACUCUUUUUCAUAUGGAGCUGUCAUGGAAGAAAUGGAAAAUGGCUAUCUUAUAUGAAUACAACUAUGGUCCCACCACUUUUGGCAAGCAAGGUCUGUUGAUUGAACCAAGUAAGUGCUAAUUGGAUGUUUCUUGAAAUUUAGGUGGACCUCAUCGAUGGCUAGCACAAUGACAAGAUAGCAAUAGUUUGAGUGAAGUGUCACACAUUGGAAUCUACGUGCUAGUCAGUCCCUAAUUUAUUCAAAUGCAGAUUCUAGCACCUACCAAAUAAAAAAAGUAAAGAAAGAUGGUUCUUUAUAAAAGUAUGCAGAACUGGAAUAUUUUAAAGUUGGUCUUAAGCUUGUAUUAGAGAUGUUUGGGGAUGAAAUAUUGUGGUUGUGGAGUGGUGGUCUGAUUGGGAAUUUUUUGGCUUUUGCUCGGUUUUAGUGUAAUGUUCCAGUAACCUUAGAAACAUAGGUUUUGUUAGAUGGUUAUAUAGGUUCUUGUACCUUGCAUCACUUUCUUGGAUUGAGCUUUUGUAUAAGGGUUGGAAUACUCCUGAAGUAUUCCUUUUAAUUUAUUUUAUUCUUUGCCGAUAAAAAAAACAAAGAUCAGAUAACAUAAAGGUAACAAGAAGUAUGAUAUCAUGAAGAUGAUGCAAUAACUAUGUGUUAGAGCUGAUGAAGGAGUUUCACAAGAAAAAUGAUAAGGCAAGGCUAUAGGUGAAGGAAUCAACGUAAGUACAAGAAAAGUUAUAGAGGGAGAGUGAAGAACCUCGUUGUAUGGUGAAGAAAUAUAUUGUGACAUAGGAUAAAUUUUGACUAAAGAACAAGUUCUUACAACAAAAUUUAUUGUCCUAAAUCUCAAAGCAUAAAAAGUAUGUAGAGGAGCAAGACUAUUCACAAUCAAUGUCAUGGAUGAUCCAAUUACAUUAUUCUUAAGGUUAACCCUUUCACUAGUAUGCAAGAUCUCAAUGCUCAUGUUUGAACCUUUUUCGUGUUCAAAUGUUAAUUAGUGGGGGAUCCAGUGGGGUCUGAAGCAAGAUAUUUGUUGACAAUUUGGUCGAGGUGUCUCUAGAUUGGUCUAGUGUUCUUCCUAGUGGAUCAAUCACCUCUUUUGAAAUUUAAAAAACAAAAUGUGUGUUGCCCGAUUUGUAGUGAACAAAUAAAAACCUCCUAUGCUCAAAGAUAUUUUUGGUAUAAAACAGGGGUGAGAGGAGUCCUUGAAGAUGUAUCUAAGACAAUUAUAUGGAGUCAUUGUGUAAAUUCUAUAGGUAAAAGAGGGAGUGUUCAUGGAUGUUUUUACAAAUUAAAUUAAGAUAGAACCUUUUGGAGAGCAAUUAAUCCAAGAAAGUUAAAAAAUAAGUUUGAAAGAAGGACUUGUGUAAUCUCCCACAUCGAGGUAGAAGAGGUUAUGGCGAAAAAACGAAAAGCAAAAAAAGAAGGAAGGUGAUCAUUACGGGGGCCAACAAAAGAGUUUAGACAUAAGGGUAAAAAGGAUGUUGGUUAAAUAGAAUUAAAGAAUCCCAACAUAACAUUGAAAUCACUUGUUUGAAUGUAAGUACAUCAAAGUUAUUUUGAUUCCCAGAAAAAAAGCAAAAGAAAAUGGCUGGGAUCCAACUAUGUGGUGUCACUUUUAUGGAGUGUAUGAUCUCAAGAGAAAUAAAUGUUUUCUUUUUCUUAGGCAGAUUAGAAGAUUGAUCAAAGAAGGUGUUUUGCAAAGCUAUAUUUUCCAAAAUAAGGGAAUGAGAAGACAUGAAGAUAGAUGAAGAAAGCAGAAGAAGUCAACCCUAAAUCCUAAACCCUAAACCAAUACAAAGGUUUAAAUUUGUACUUUGGGUGAUUUAAAUACUAUUGUAGGAGGUUUCACUAGUGAAAGAGUUACCAACUCGGUAAGAAAGCAAUAAUUUUAGUUAAUUUUAACAUUGUUGAAAAAAUCAAUGUUACCCAAGGACAAAAAAUAGCGAUAAUCAUAUUCAGAAACAAAUACAUGCAGAGAGUCUUGCGACACAAGGUUGAUCCGAUAGUAAUAUGAAUGAUGAGUUAUACAUUAAGUAAUGGUAGAUUAAUGGAGUUUGACAAAUUUUUUAUUUUGGAAAACCAUCUUAAAUUUUGAUAUCUUGAAAUAACACUUGAAGUUGUUUGAUGGAGUAUUUUUUACUUUCUCAUGAGAACAUAUGAAAUUGUGUGAUCAUGUAUGUAGAGCUAAGAACAAUGUUUGUAGUAUAAGGAGGACUACAAACACUCAUGAUAAAUGCAUCAUUAUCAUAUAACAUAUAUAGGAAGAUCAUCAUUGAACAAAUUAAAGGUUUUGGUUUCAAGGACAUCUAAAAAUGAAUACCAGAUGAACAACGACAAUUAAGGGUCAUUAAAGCAAAUAAGGAAAUAUCACAAAAAUGUUAUGAAAGAACUCUAAGAGAAUCACAUAUCUUUCUUAACCCAAUAAGGAUGUGAAUAUCUUAGAUUACAGUUGUGUUUAAAGAUCGAUAUCACCAACUAGCUGAUGAGUUAAGGGAAGUACUUACAGGAGAAGGAAAAAUGAUCAAAAUGUGAUCAAGUUUGGAGGAGGAUUUAGAGAAAGAAAGAUGGUCAAAAUAAGAUCAAGUUUGCAGGGUGAUUUAGUUAAAGAAUAACCUAGUUGCUAUGGGAAAAAAAAAUGUUUUACUUCAUCGAUGAAUGAUAUGUUUAACAUUAACCCAAAUAUAUGUUGGUUCAUCAAUUAACUUAGAUAGUUAUUAAAAAAUUCUUAUAAUAAUGUGGGAAUUGACAAACAUUUAAUAAUUUUUAUAAAAAUAUCAUUAAAUUAAAAUCACUUGACAAAUGCUGGGUAAACUAUUCUUUAUCACAUCAUCAAUAUCAUUAUCAUUUCCUAACUUUAGAGACUACAAUCACCACAAAUAAAAUUUGAAUUUUUUUUUAUAAAACAGAACUAAAAAAGUGUACCCAAAUUGAAGGAGUAAAACGGUAAUUAAGCAUUUAAUAAACUUUAAAAAAUGUCAAUUAAAUUUACAUGUCAACUAUUGAGUAGAAUAUUAUUUUUUUACAUCAUCUACUUAUUAUUUUUAUAAAUUAAAAAAUUAUUAGUAUUUAAAAUAAUUUCUAUUAAUAAUAAAAGUUUAUAAAGUAGUUUCCAAAUUAGUAUCUAACAUUACUUAUCAAAAUUUUCGGUAUUAACUACUUUUUAUAAAUGAGUCAUUAAUUUAAUUAAAUACUAAGUUAAAAUCUUAAGUAUUUACUAGCUAAAAUUUUGGUAGCUAAUAUUAUAUACCAAUUUAAAAAUUAAUCUAUAAAUUUUUAUUAAUAAACUACUUUAGACAUCAAUAAUUGUUUAGUUUAUAAAGUAGUAUCUAACUUAGUCAAUAUAAUGACUAAUUUUAUCUCUCUAAAUUAAUUUUUAUUUAAUAAUUUUUUAAUAGUGAUCAAUAUCUUUAAUAUUUUUUAUAUGUAGAGAUUAAAAAUAACAAUUUACAAAAUUAAAUAACUAAAAUGGAAAAAUAUUGUUUCCAAAUUUAAUUGACUAAAAACAUAUUUAAAUUAAUUUUAAAUUUUUAACUAGUCAAUUAUAUAUAUAUAUAUAUAUAUAUAUAUAUAUAUAUUGUUUUAAUAAAAUAAGUGUAUCCGAAGCACACUAUUAGGGUGAAAAAAGAAAUUGGUGGUAUAGAUGAUUGUUUGCAUAAAGAUAAUGGACCAACGAGGCUAAAUAAAAGGCCGGUCCAAAGUUUCGGCGUUCUAAAGAUGAUGUCCAGAGCUUUUAACAGGGAACUUACUACUCUCAUCCCUUUUUUUUCUAUCAUCAUACAUUUUUUAAAUUUAAAUCAUCUUCCAACCUUUAAUCCUAAACACUUUAGACUUCAUUUGUUAAUGACAAAAUAAAUUAAAAAAAUAGAAAAAUACAGACAAGUGAAAAAAUAAAAAAUAAAAUAUUUAUUAUUAUUGUUGUUGUUUACUGAUAUUUUUAUUUGUUUAUUAUGAUUAUAAAAAAAUUGUAAAAAAGUUGUCACAAUGAAUUAAGUAAUCAAUUAUUUUCGUACCAUUGAUCAUAAUUAAUUAUUUUAUAUGUAGUAAUUUUUCUUUCGUUUUUCGUUCAUUUUUUGGAUGGAAAUAUAAAGUUGUGAGCUGUAUUUUUGUUGUUCUCAUUAAAUCAAACAAUUUUUAUUUUUCUCUUUUUUUUCUCAUUUUCCUUUCCACUCUAUUAAACUAUAGCUUAUUAUUUUUUAAAUGAAUAAUAAUACAUUGAUAAUCUUAUUUGAAAAUAUAAUCAAAUAACAAUUUUAUUUAACUUAUUAAUUAUUCAAUUAUAUUAUUAUCUUAUUAUAAUGUGAUUGUUGUAAGUGUUGCAGUAAUUCGUUCAAAAUUCUUAUGAGUGAGUUGUAUUUUUCAUCAUUUAGUCGCAAUACGCGGUGGAAAUAUAUUUUCUUCAAUGUGGUAAUGUUUUUAAUUACAAAUGUCUAAGUAUGCCUUUUUUUUAAAGUAUACUGUUAAGAAAAAAAAAUAGGGAAUGGAAAAGUAAUAAUAAUAUUAAAAAUAAUAAAAAUAUUUUCUUUAAAAGUUAAAAUUAUUUAUAAAAUUAAGUUAUAGGUUGUUAUUUUAUAUAUACUAGUAGAAACACAAACGCAAUAUAUUGAUCUUGGGUAUCCGCUUUUUUAGUUUUAUUAUUUAUAUAGUUAUGUUUAAUAUUAAAAAUUAAAUAAAAGAUAUCAAUUAAAUCAAAAUAGCGUCUAUGUAUCCGUAUUUUUAUUUUUAUCAUUUAUAUAUAAUUAUGUUUAAUAUUAAAAAUUAAAUAAAAAAUGUCAACUAAAUCAAAUAAUAAGAAGAGAUAGUGCCGGAUGAUUCAUGAUCCGGGUUGUAUUCCUGGCCCAACAUAAAUCUUCUCAGAAGAUAAUUUCUGAUGAACGGAAUCAAGGGAGGACCGCGGUUCCUAAACAACGUAAAGAGUAUCUGAAGAAAGAUCCGCAACCGAAACUCGUGGAACACCCCACAGAUACAUUGGACAUUAAUGUUUCUGGCGGGGCUAAUGCAGGGUCACCCUUAGGCCACCUCGCUUCUGAUAAACUAGGUGGAAUAGAGGAUGAUUUUGCUGACAUGCCUCCUCUUGAGGAUGUCUCGGAUCAUGAAUCCAGACAAGGCUUGUCCACUCACACUUUGGAUUUCCCCAGGGAAUGCUAAGGAAUUCACCUACUGUUAUGCAAGCUAAGGGCUCAGAGUCUCAUGCUUCUAUUAAGGAUCACUCUGUAGAAGUAUCGACCCCUGUAGCAGUACCAUGUCCGUUGCAUCCCACCUCUCCUCAGAUGGCUAAAUCACCUGCAAACUCUAUAACACCAAUCAAUACUCGAAUUGAUGGUCAUCACGUGGAGGUAUCUGCUCUUGUGACUGUACCAUCUCCAUCGCCUCAAACCUCCCCUCAGAAGGCUAAAUCUCUUGGGGAUGUUAAAGCAUUAUCGUUGGUCCUGCAAAAUCACUUUUCCUCUCUUGAUGGUUUGGAAACCAAAAAUGUGAGAGGUGAUCCUUAUAUUGGUACGUCUACUGCCUUUGUUGAAUUUACUUAUGACCAUAUCACUGUUGAAAUCAGGUUGGUUCAAAAUUUUGGACUGAUCCUGAAGAGAUGGAGGAAAAUGUGAGAGGUGAUCCUUAUAUUGGUACGUCUACUGCCUUUGUUGAAUUUACUUAUGACCAUAUCACUGUUGAAAUCAGGUUGGUUCAAAAUUUUGGACUGAUCCUGAAGAGAUGGAGGAAAAUGUCAGUGAUACUAGGGAGGAGAUAUUUCGCACUAAAAGAAAAUCAGGGAGACCACCCAAAGGGACCAGUAAAUCCAAAAAAAACUGCUAAGAAAGUUCUCUCCACAACGUCGCAAUGAAAGUCUCUUCAUUUUUCUGGUAUGUUAGAGGACUAGGAAACCAUAAAAAUGUGGAGAUGUUGAUUAGUUUACUUAAACUACAUAAACCCCUUCUGGUUUUUCUUGUUGAGCCUAUGGUGUUGUACACUGAUGCUUUCGAAAUCCUUUUCAAAUAUAUUAAUAUGCAUUUGGUGGCUACGUCUCCUAUUGUUAAUAAAGUUUUUAAGCUUUAGUGUUUUUUGCUUCCUAAUCUGGUCCGAAAUUUCUUGGUAAAUGAAUAGUUUAUUUUUGUAACUUGCCAUUUGCAUGAUAAAUGUUUUAGCUUUGGAAGUGUUUAUGGUGCUAACACAUACGUGGCUAGAUGGUUUUUGUGGAGGGAUCUUAGUUCCUUCAUAGGGCCUUGGUGUAUUUUGGAAGAUUUUAAUGUUGUGCUCUCAGGGGAUGACUGUAAAGGGGGGGGUGGCUUCUAAUCAGGUUUCUUGUAACGAAUUCCUUGAUUGGAUUAAUACUAAUGAUCUUUCUUGUAUGCCUUUUACUGGAUCUUGUUAUACUUAGUGUAAUGGAAGGAAAGGGUUGCAUAUAAUUCAUAGAAGACUGGAUAGGGCUUUAAUUAUGUAACGAAGUGUGUCUGGAUGAAUGUGAUUCCUGUACUUAUUAGGUUCUUGUUAAAAAUUGUUCUGAUCAUUCCCCUAUUCUUUCUAGUCUUCGUAGUAAUUCUUUGAGGAAGGUUAACAAUUUUUGUUUCUUUUCUAUGUGGGUUCGAGACACUUCAUGUCCGAAGCUUAUUCAUUACUCUUGGGCUAAUAAGGUUGUUGGUUUUCCUAUGUUUAUUUUGCAACAUAAGUUAAAAAGGUUGAAAAUUGAGCUAAGAGACUGGAAUAAAAAUUCUCUUGGUAAUGUUCACAAUACAGUUCUUCUUAAACAGAGUUUCCUCCUUGGUAUUCAACAAAACUUAAAGUCUGCUAGUAUGUCUGAUAUUGAUGGGCUUAUCUGUCAAGAAAAGAUUGUUAAAGAUGAGCUUGAUUGUGCUCUUCACUGUCAAUAUUUGUUUUGGAAAAAAAGGACUAAAAUGCUUUGGUUUAAAGAUGGGGAUAGAAAUACUGCUUUUUUCCAUGCUAUGGUCAAAAGGAGAAAUAAUUCUAGUGGGAUUCAUCGUCUACGGAUUGAUAAUGCGGUUAUUGAGGAUCCUAAACUCAUUGGAGAACAUAUUUUGGACUUUUAUAAAACUCUUUAUAUUGAUUCUAUUGCGGAGAAUAUGAAGUUGAUUAAAUGUCCUAAUUUUUUGGAAAUAAAAAUGUUGUUUUAACCUUAAUGGUAAUAGUGCUUCUGGUCCUGAUGGUUUUGGUGGUUUUUUUCUAUCACCCUUGUUGGGAAAUUAUUGGAACAGAUGUUUUUAAUGCUAUCCAACAGUUUUUUAAACAAAAUUGGGUUCUCCCUGAAAUGAACAAUAAUGUGGUAUCUCUUAUUCCUAAGAUCCAUGGUGCUGAAUCCAUUAAAGAUUACAGGCCAAUUGUUGUUGCUAAAUUUAAAUUUAAGAUUAUUUCCAAGAUUCUGGCAGAUCGACUUGCUCUUGUGGCUAAAAUAAUUUCUCCUAAUCAGUAUGGGUUUGUGCAGGUCAGACAUAUUCAGGAUUGUCUUGGUAUUGCUUCUGAAGCUAUUAACAUACUUUCUUAAAAGGUUUGGGGAGGUAAUGUGGCUUACAAAGUUGAUAUUCAUAAAGCCUUUGACAUUCUGAGUUGGAAGAUUUUACUAUUAGUUUUGUCACACUUUGGUUUUCACCCCUCGUUUGUCUGUUGGAUUAGUAUUAUUCUUCAUUCAGUUAUGCUUUCAAUCAGAAUAAAUGAGAAUUUGGUGGGAUUAUUUCCUUGUAGUAGAGGUGUCAGACAAGGUGAUCCUUUGUCUUCUCUACUUUUCUGUCUUGCAGGGGAAGUUCUUAGUAGAGGUCUCUCUAAGCUUGUGAAUGAUAAGAAGAUUCUACAUAUGGCUAGCUGAUAAGUGUCUAAUUUCAGUAAUAUUUCAUAUUAAAAUAUAGGCACUUAUGAGGAUUUAUUGCUAAUUUACAUAUAAAAUAAUUCUUAAUUUAUGAAUUUAUACCUUUUUACAUUUUUUAUGAGCUUUAUUUGAAUAAGAGCAUUUUAUUCCCAAAUUUGGUGUUAAUUGCAUAUUUUUUAGGGAGGAUUGAAGAUUUGAAGUAAAUGAGAAUAAUUUGAGCUAAAAAGAGAAAGUUGGAAGGUCACAGAAUGGAAAAAGAUGUAAAAAAAAGACUAGAGUAUCUUGCUUGAGCGAGAAUGCAUCAGAAAGAUUGGGCCUUUUUUAUGUUUUAUCACUUAGCCCAUUAGCGCGACACAAAGCGACCUAACCCAGGAAAAUUAGGAUAAAUAGAGGGCUAGAGGCUCAACCCUAGUGUGAUAGAUUGAGAGGAAAACACCAUUGAGUGAAUUGUAACCCAAUUGGGAGAAUGGAAGGUGCUAGAAGUAUGCAUGACUAAUUCUACGCUUUGAGAUUGGUAGUAAUAUGCUCGAACUCUUAUGUAUUGAGGUGAUAUCUUAUAUUAAAAUAUUCAGUUCUUGAUUGAUUAUUGGUAUUGUUGUUUUACUUCUAAAUUUCUGUGACAAAUUGAGAAUCUUAAAUUUGACCGAGAGAUAUUUUUAGGUUUCGGACCUAAACAUUAAUACUUAACAUAUUUGAGUGUUAGAGAUCGACUUGAAAUGUUAAUUGCCAUUAAAAUAUGAUUGUGAUUUCUAAGUUGUUUCUAUAAGUAUGUGAGAGAUCGAUAUUUAGGAAACAGUCUUAAGAAUUUUAUAUGCGAGAGAUUAAUAUAAAUGAAUUUUCUACGGACAUCAAUUUCAAUCAAAGAACUUAAUAUUGACAUGCUAAUCAAAAUACAUGAGAGUUAGAGAGAUGAAACUUAAUUCCUAUUUUUUUCAACUUGAAGCAACUAAUUGUUUGUCUGUUUUCUUAUUAAUCAUUGCCAACACACUCAAUUCAACACUCUUUUUAUUAUUUUAAUCUAUAUUUAACGAUUAUUUUGAUUUUUAUGUUUUUGUUUUUGUGGGAUCGAUACUCGUCCUUAGGAACAAUUAUUACUUCUGACCAACGCGGUGCAUUUACCGUAGAAAGUCAUCAUGCUUUUGGCGCCGUUGCCGAGGAACAUGUUUGAUUUUUUAGUAUAGUUUCUUAAAUAUUGUUAAUAUUCUAAUUGUUUGAUUUUUAUGAUUUUUUGUUUUUUAGUGAUUUGAUAUUCUGUUUUUAUUGGUCUAAUUCUUAUUUCUUUGAAUUGCUUUCAUUUGUUUUUAUUAUUUUUAUAUUUUUUAUUUAUUUUUCUCUUGAUUUUGUUUUUGUUUUAUUAUAUUUUAUUUUAGUUCUUUUUUUUUAGGUUUAGUUACGUAGUUUUAUUUAGUUUACGUAGUUUUUAUUUAAUUGUUGGAAUUAUUUAUUAUUAGUAAUUUUAGUUCUUAUUUUUACGUAAGUUACUUAGUUAUCUUUAAAGUAUUUUAGUUAGUUGUUUACAAUUAUAGUUUUCAGUUUUAUUUUAUUUUAGCUUUAUUUUGUUUUGUUUUUAUUUAUUUCUAGUAUCUAUUUGUUAUUUUUAAGUAAGUUAUUUUUUAUUUUUUGAUAGUUUUCUUUUAUUUGGUCUUUAUUUUAUUUAUUUUACAUAAGUUUUUAUUUUAUUUUAUUUAUUUUUCUUCUUCUUCUUGUCUAAAUAUUUUUGUUAAAUUUUCUCUUAGCGUGUGUUUUUUGUUUUGUUUUAUUUCAUCUUUAAGUUUUAAUUUUUAGUUUAGGCAGUUAUUGAUUUUAUUUUAGUUAGCUAUUUAAAUUCUUGUUUAUUUUUGAAUUUUUGGAAGAAAAAAAUAUAAAAUAUAAAUUUUCGGUUACUAUUUGUGAAUUUUUCUUGCUAACCCUUGCAUUAGCUACUUUUAUAUGAUACUAAGAGGUUAAGUUCCAAAAGACCACUUGCUAUUUGAAGCAGAAAUUGAGAAGGUGGCAAAAGAGAAUCAAGAAGAUAAUAGAGAGGACUCUUCAACAUCUUCUUUUUCCAUUGAUAUUUUUCAGGAGAAUAACAACAUGGCGGGAAAGGAAACACCACCUCCUAGGAGAACUCUUGGAGAUUACGCCAUACAUCAAGGGCCCAGACACUUUUCUAGCAUUGUAGUGCCUGCAUCUACCAGGGUCUUAAAGAUGAAGUAUGCGUUCCUUACCCUCAUUAGUAUCAAUCAAUUAAUGACAAUGGAUAAUGAGGAUCCUCAUACACACUUGGCUAUUUUUUAUGAAUUGGUGGGAACUAUGGGUUUCUAGUCAGGUGAUCUUGAGAGUGUAUACAUGCGUUUAUUUCCUUUUUCUUUGGCAAGGAAAGCAAAUGAGUGGCAUCCUAAUCAGAGUUUAACCAGAUGGAAGGAUGUGGAGGAAAUUUUUUUGCAAAGAUUUUUCCCAAUCUCUCGUUACAUUAAAGCUAAGUCUAAAAUAUAUAUGUUGAGACAAGGAGCGGAGGAGUCUUUCUGUGAGACAUGGGAGAGAUUCAAGAGGAUGCUAAGAAAAUGUCCAAAUCAUGGGUUUGAAGACAUUGCUCAACUGAGCAUAUUUAUCAAUGAUCUCAGAUCUGAUACAAAAAUGCUCCUAGAUGCCGAUGCAGAUCAAGCAACAAGGAUUAUUGAAGCUUUGGCCACAACUAAUUAUCAAGCUCAACAUGAUAGACAAGGUCAUCAAAAGAGAGGAAUAUUGGAGUUUAAUACUGCAAAUGCAUUGCUCGCAAAAUAAAAUUCUGACAUAGCAGCUUGAGCAACUGAUCGCAUGGCCAAACUACCCCAGAAGUUGCAUGUUGUUCGAUCAUCCCAAAGUCAGAAUAUACCUAUCAGGUAUGAUUUUUGUGGAGGUGAUCAUCCUAAUGGUCACUGUUCUUAUCAGAUCAACUCACCUGAAGCUUAGGUAAAUUAUAUGGGAAAUCAAGGAAGGCAAGGCGGUUUUUCCAACAAUUAUUAUCAAGGUCGGAAAAAAAAUAAAAAUCAGAACUUUGGGUGGAAACAAGACUAUAAUUCAUCCAACAAGCAAGGGUCUUUCCAACAACCGCAUCAAUCCAAUUAUCCAUCCAUCCCCGACAGAAUGAGUAAAGUUGAAAAUGUUUAGUCAAAGAUUGUGAGCUCACAAGAAAAUAGCAUGGCCACGAUUAGGUGUAUGCAGACCCAGAUAGGACAGAUAGCCAAACAAAUGGCACAAAUUGCACAAAUUGUAGACGAAAAAAUUGGCCAAUUCUCAGCCAACACUUCAUCCAACCCUAAGGAGCAUUUUAAUAAAAUCACUACUGAGGGUGAUAAAAAAAUAAGAGAGUAAGAUGAUGAGAUGGUAAAAUUUGAGGAAGAAAAUGGAGAACAUAGAAAAGAGGGAGAAAAAUGUGAAGUUGUAGAGAGCAGAGUUUCAAAAGAAUUAUCUCAUUCUCCUAUGCAUGUAAAAAAAGAAAAGAAAUGAUUAUUUUAUGAUUUGCUUCCAAAAAAUUAUUUUGCAGGAUGGUUGGAGAAAAAUACAUUCUUUGAUUGAAUUAGAAGAAUAAUAUGUUGUUUUGAGGACAAAGAUAUAGAGCCGAAAGCUGGAAGCAGUUUUUUUGAAGCUAAAUGACUUGCCAAAGAAAUUCAGGGAUCCGGAGAGUUUCAAUAUUUUUGUGUCAAUUGGUGAUGUAUUUGUGGGUAAUGCCUUAUUGGAUUUGGGGUCAAGUAUAAAUUUGAUGCCACUAACCAUGUUAAGACAGAUAGGUGACUUGGAGGUUAAACCCACCAAGAUGUAGUUACAGUUGGCGGACAGGACGAUGAAGCACCCUUAUGGUGUAGUUGAAGAUGUCCUCAUGAAAGUAGACAAAUUCAUAUUUCUGAUGGAUUUUGUUAUCUUGGACAUGAAAGAAGAUGAGGAGGUCCCUUUGAUUCUCGGCAAACCUUUCAUGAAGACUGCUAAAGUCAUAGUGGAUGAAGAUAAAUGAGAACUUAGAGUAAGGUCUCAUGAUGAAGAGGUAAGAUUUAAUCUUUUUAAUGAUGUAACUAAUUGUAUUGCAAAUAAGAAUGGAGGGCAAGAGGAAAUUUCAAAAGAUGGUGACCAAAUAGAGGGCUCAAAGCCAAAGGAGAAAGUUACACGAUAUGAAAAGUUAAAGGCAAAAGGACACCAGAACAAUCAAGGGAAGCCAGUUGAGGAAGAGGAAUAUUGGUUAGGACAACCUAUUAUGCUUAACGCGGGUAGGGGGAAAGGAAUGAAGAAGACGAAGAAAUUUUAGGUCAUCGAGGAAUUAAAGAUGGACGGAAAAAUUGAAGUGGGAGAGUCGUAUUCAAGGAAAACGAAAGUGAUAACAAGAGCACUGGCCAAGCAGAAUAAUUUUCCCCCUUGAGAAAAACUUUUGUCAAGCUAUAUAACGUUAAAAGGGUGCUCACUGGGAGGCAACUUAAUCCACAUUUUAGUUUUAUGUUGUUUUGUUACCUUUGUUGAUUUUAUUUUUUCAAAAAUAUAAAUAAAUAAUUAAAAAUUAAAAUAAUAAUAAUAAUAAAAUAAAAAAUCUUAUAUGCCUCCUAAUAAUUUUGCAGGUUAUGUAUUUUGACCUAGGAACAGAUCCUAUUAUUCAAGGGGGCAGAUCUAGCAAAUGAAGCAAGACUGUAGAUAAAGAUUUUAACAAAAAGUUGGAUGACUUCUAAAGAAGAGAUGAUUGAGCAAAAAUAUGGUUUUAUCUUUUUAUUUCUCUUUUCUUUUCAAUUAUUUGAAUUUUUUUUUUCUGUUUAGUAUUUAUUUUAUUUUAUUUUUCAGUUAUUUUGUUUUAUGUUUAUUUUGCUUAUUUGUUUAGUUUGUUUUAAUUGCUUAUUUUGUAUUUUAAAUAAAUUUUCUGUUUUGGUAGUUUGUUAGUUUCAGGUCUUGAAUUAUUUUGAAUAAAUUUCAGUUUUAAUUUAAUUUGUUUUCUAGUUUUAUUUUUCUCAAAUAAAAAAAAGAACUACAAUAUUAAAUUUGAAUUUUGAAAAAGGAAUUUGUGUUUAAUUAUUAGAUAGUGGGAUGAAUUAGACACAAGUUAGAAAAGAAGAUAUGAUUGAAUCCCUAUUCAAAUGUAGUUGAAAUUAUAACAAGAUGAUUUAUUAGGACAGAGAAUGACAAGACAAAAAUGAAUGAGACCAAUCAAACCAAGUGAGUGUGUGAACCUUAAACAGUUUUGAGGGUUUUACUGAUGAAUUGACAGUUAUGGUUGCUUAAUUUUUAUUUUUGUUACAUCAUAAAAGAACAUGAAGAUGAUUCAAGCAUUUGUUUGUGUUAAUUAGGAACGCAGGGCCAAAUAGCCAACCUUUAUCUUAUUAGAAUCCCAUUUUUUUUUAUAUCCCCUUUGAGCCAAGAUUUUUUUUGUUAAUAUUGCACCUUACCCUUUAAUGAUAUAUCCUACCCUUUAGCAUGUUUGAGGAAGGAGAACAUAAAUGCAAUCAAUGUUAUCAAGCUCUAGGGUUAACUCGUAAACCCUUACGAGUUUAAGGGUUUGCUAAAGGGUCACGAGUCGACUCGAGAGUAAACUCGGUUUUGAGUAAACCUGGUGUAGACUCGGUCAGACUCGGUGAACUUGCGAGUUUGAGACUGAGUCACCGAGUUCUGAAAAAAAGAAGCCCAAAAUGGUGUUUCCUCGUUGUCAUUGUCACGCUGCUCGCGCAUCACCGCACCACGUUGUUCGCCGCCGUGCCUCGCGACGCCAUCGCACCUCGCCACACCUCACGAUGCCACCGCAUCUCUUCACACCCUGUGACGCCACCUAGCCACGCCGCUGCGCUUCGCGACGCCACCUCGCAUCAUAGGUAAUGCAACUGUUGUGGGUUUCAUGAUGUGGGGCAUUAGUUUUAGGGUUUAGGGUUCAACCAACCGAUCUCCCCUACCGCAACCGAACGUGCUAUGGAGGUCACCAUGUCACCCUUGGCGGUGUUGGGGAGUGACAUGCAAUUUGCACGAGGAGUGAAGGUUGCGCUGCCCGGGCCGACCCGGGAGGUCAUUCAAGCCAUUUCGAAGGUGAAUUUGCUGAAGGGUAGAGUGGAGAUGUUGUGUUGCGCCCUUGUCAUGGUUCAGUUGGGGUCUCAGGACCGAGAAAGCCAUACCGAGGAGAUAUCCCGGUUGGAGCUGUCCGAGCCUUCGGCCAGCUUAAAGCAAUCUCUUGCUGUCAACUCUGAGUAUGUGGAGAAGCUUGCUCGGGACGUUGCCGAGAAGGAGAAGGUUCAACAAGAGGCGGUUGAGGCUGAGCACCAGCGGCGGAAAUGGCGGCUGAGGUGGCUCGGUUGAAGAAGGUGGUGGUGGAAGGUGAAGGCAAGAUCUCGGUGCUAAAUGUCGAGGUCACUCGAUUGGAGGCUAUUAAGGAGGAGGUCGAGACGGAGCUGGAAAGCAACUUCGACCGGACCUUGGAGCUGCUCAAGCAGAGCUUCCUUUAGGCCGUCCGACAGGCCCAUGUGUUGUAUGGGGGCCGUCGAUGUAUGACAGCUCAAUCCUGAGAACGAGGUGUUCGAGGGUCAGAUCAUGCCGAGGGACGAGGCGAGGGCAUUGGCGGUCGCGACGAAGGAGCAGCCUGCACCGACGGGGGGAGCUGAAGGUGAUUACCAGUAGACUUAGGUUUUUAGUUGUUGUUCCCUUCGGUCGGGGUGUGGCUCUUUUGUACUUCUUCCUCCGAGGCCGGGGUGUGGCCUUCUCCCCAUCUUUUUAUUAAUGAAUCAGUCGUUUUCUUUGCAUAUUGUGAAUGGUCGAUCAGAUAAUUAAUUGAUUAAAGCGAAUUUAACAAGUUAAGUUAACGGUCAGUAACUUAUCUGAACAAUAGAUAAUUGAAUAAGUUAAAUAGGCGGUCAACCUUUGCUCGAAUCCUUUUAAGGUUUAGGCUUGGUUUUGAUGCAACCAAGGUUGUGAGGUGUUGGCAGGGUAUGCCGAUUAAGGCUUCAUCCGGACUGAACUGAGUGUGCAAGGUGUUGGAAGGGUAUGCCUAUUAAGGCUUCUUUCAGACCAAACCAAGUAGUGAGGUGUCGGUAGAGUAUGCCGAUUAAGGUUUCAUCCAGACUGAACCGAGUGUGCAAGGUGUUGGCUGGGUAUGCUUGUUAAGGCUUCAUCAAGACCAAACCAAGUUGUGAGGUGUCGGCAGAGUAUGUCGAUUAAGGCUAUAUCCAGACCGAACUAAUACUUGAGAUGUGCAAACUCAAAUUAUUAAUGAAGAGAACCGCCUCGUUAAAACCUUAAUGACCGAGAACCCUUCUUAGGGAAAAACGGUUGGGUCAGGAAAGAGUGUGUAAACUUUAUUAAUUUAACUGUAGUAGAAUUUGAGGUGUGUGGCAUUCCACGUCCUCCGUACAAUUUUACCCGAUAGCCACUCUAAAUGGUAUGCCCCCGCAGUUGCAACUUCUCGGAUUCUGAAGGGUCCUUCCCAAUUGGAUGAGAAUUUGCCUUCGUUUCUUCUUGCGUCGCUUCUUAUUCUCCAGACGAGAUCUCCUAUCUGGAAGCUCCUCAAUCGGACUUUGGUGUUGUAGCGUCUUGCCAUCCGAAGUUUGCAUGCUGCCUCUCAGAUCUUGCUUUUGUCGUGGAGCUCGUUGACAAAAUCAAGCUUGACCGACAGGCUUUCCUCAUUGAGGGUUAGGUCGAACAUCGUUCUUCGGAAGGUAGGCUCACCUACCUCGACCGAGAUCAUUGUUUCAAUCUCGUACGUCAGGCUGUAUGGUGUUUCUUGUGUGGUUGUCUAGGGGGGGUGCAUCGGUACGCCCAUAGGACUUCUAUCAAUUCUUCAUUCCAUCGACCCUUUGCCUUGUCGAGCUGCUUCUUCAGUUCAUUUAGGAUGACCUUGUUAGUAGCCUCAACCUGCCCGUUAGUUUUCGGGUGCUCGACCGAGGCUGAUGCUCGACGUACUGGACGGUAGGGGUCAUCCAAUUGUCGGUAUCAGUAUCGGUGAUCGCUAGGAAUUCAGUCUUUGAUACGCUAGGGUGCCUUAGCCAUAUAUGCAUGGCUGAUCUCUGGUGGUUCUUCUUCUUGGUUACCGAUAGUCGAGAUAGGACAUCGGCCUGCUUGUUCUCUUGCCUUGGGAUGUGUUCCACCGGUGCUUUCUCGAAACAGAAAAUGUUGUUACCAGCGGCGUGGUAGUACUGUUGUAGCAGAGGUUCUUUAACCUCGAAAUCUCCCUUGAUUUGGCCGACCAUAACUUGGGAGUCACUUUUGCAUGUUACUUCGUGAGCUCCCAUAUCAUAUGCUAGGGUUAGCCCGGCGAGUAGAGCCUCGUACUUGACCUGGUUAUUGGUGCCCUUGAAUCCGAAUUGGAGUGCUUACUCCAAUAGGAGGUCGUCCAGUCCUUCGAGGAUGACUCUUUCUCCACACGCAAUCUUGUUGGAGGAGUCGUCAACUUACAAUGUCCAUCCUGCCGAGAGGUCUGACAGAGGUGCGAGCUCGACUGAGAAGUCGGCCAGCCAUUGAGACUUGAUGGCGCCUCUCGGUUGGUACCAGAUGUUGAAUUCAGAGAGCUCAACUGACCAUCCUAUCAUUCAUCCUGCAAGGUCGGGUUUAGAUAAAAUUUUAAAAAUGGGAUAGUCAGUCCUUACCAGUGGUUUUGGAAAUAGGGGUGCAUCCGCCUUGUCGUUAGGACGAGGGCAAAAGCAACUUUCUCUAUCAUCUGAUAUCUUGUUUUGGCCGCAUGAAGCGUUCGGCUGACAAAGUAUACCAACCAUUCUUCCCCCUCUACUUCCUGCACUAACGCGACACUGACCGCUUCUUCCGAGACCGCUAGAUACACUAGUAUAGGCUGAUCAAAUCUCGCCUUCUGAAUGACUGUCAGUGACGAUAGGAAGUCCUUCAACCAUUUGAAGAUCUCUUCACACUUUUCAUCCCAACUGAACUUGGCUGCUUUGCGGAGUAGUUGUACCAUCGGUCUCGUUCGCUUGGCCAGGCGGGGUACGAAUCUAGAGAGGGUCAUGAAGCGCCCUAGGAGUUGCUACACCUCCUUUAUGUUUGGCUUGGUGACUAUGACGACAUUGGCCAACCAGGUUGUGUACCGGGCCUCGCAGAUAAACCCAGCCGACAGGAGCUUUUGGGCUUCCUCUUUAGCUGCAAGACAUUUCUCGACGCCAUAAUCCUUCUUCUUCUUCUGCGCGAUCAUUCGCGCUUCCUUAAAUACCGACAACUUGUGAGUGAUAAUGUCCAGACUUAACCUCGGCAUGUCGGAUGGGGUCCACGCGAACAAAUCUACAUUACUUUUCAGCGUGGCGUGCAUUAGAUUGGCCUCAGCGGUUGCAAUGGUCGUGCCGACGCUGAUCUUGUGCUCCUCGUCGAGGAGGGACACCCGACGCAACUCUUCCCUAGCUUCCAACCUGUCUUCAGUCGUUCAGGGAUCUAGGUUCACCAGAGCGACUGUAGGUAUUGGUAGUGUUGGUUGGGUUUUUUUGGGAGAACCGUGCCUCCGAGAAGAUUUGCGUUUAGGGGAGCGAUCAUCCCUCAAAGGCUCCACCGUAAGACUCUCGGCGUAACAUUUCUCGCCACCUUUUGGUUAACAUGGACCGUGAGGAUGUCUCUUGACGGCAAAGGGAACUUCAUCGCCAGGUGGGGUGUUGACACGAUGGCCAUCAGCCAGUUGAUAGAUGGUCGUCCAAUGAGGAUGUUAUAGGAAGUGUUUGCAUCAAUCACCAAGUAUCAGAUCUUGAUGGUUUUACAAUUAUUUUCCUUGCCAAAGGUGGUAUAAAGCUCAAUGUAGCCUUUAAUACCCACCCUUUCGCUCGAGAAACCGACUACAUGCCAUUUCGGCCUCGGGUAUCCUCAUAGCUUUGAAGGUCUUCCAAUAGAGGAUGUCUACUGAACUUCCCUGGUCCACUAGCGUUUUCCUUAUGGUGAACCUGUCGGUAUCGAGCGAUAUCACCAUAGGAUCGUCUUGCCAAUAGUCAACACCUUUGAAGUCAUCGUCAGUGAAGAUGAUGGGCGACAUCCUCAGUCAUAAUGACACCGCGUUCACCUCCUGCACCGCAUGAAGGUGCUUCUUCCGGGCGUUGUUGGUGCUUCCCCCACGGGCAAAUCCGUCGAUGAUUGUGUUGAUGACUUCUCGGUUCCCCCUGCUCUCGGUUUCUCGUGAGGGAUCGUCUCUUUGUGGAGGGUCAUCCCUCCUUUACCGUCGCUUGGGAGGUCGGUCGUCUCGUAGCCUUGGUGAUGGCAUUUUCAUGAAGUUCUUCUUGAAUCAAUGUAGAGUAUGGGGCGGAAGCAAUGUAUGAGAGUGAGCAAGAUCCUCCUAAGAGUGGUGUUGAUCUUGUAGGUGCAUGAUAAGUGUGGGUAUUGAGUGGUUCGGCCAGCUCAAGGGAAAAGAUGAAGGAAUUGAAGUUUAGAGCCUAGGAUUCUAGGGAGAAGCAAAGUUGAGCACAAAUUGGCAACAUAACUUUACUCACAAUAAACUUGAAAAUACAAGGUGUAGGCUCCUCCUUUUAUAGGCUAAGGAGGACCAUAAUGCAACCCUAAUGCUAGCCAAAUGAAAUGUAAAUGUGAAGCACAUGGGUGCACAUGGCACAUGGGUGCACAAAUGAGCACAUGGGGAGGGGUGUGUCUAGUUUUUAUGCUCACCCCCUCCAUGGGCUUUCUAGACCGGCCUUGGUAAAUUUAGAGGUUUUUUUAGAAACUCUAAGUUUACCUAGGAUGGUGUUUUAGGUGCCAAAAUUAAUUCUAAGAAAAUUACAAAUAAAGUUCCUAUGCUAAUUUUGACAAGAAAUUAAAGUCUACUCUACACUAGAGUUUAUGGCAUUUGAACAUGUAAAAGAACGUCUUCUUGGAUUCUCUUGGCCAUAACUCUAUGGUUGGCCCAAAUCUACCCUUUGGUGGGCUUGCAUGUGGGCUUGUGUUUGGGCCUCUUCCAUCACUUGGGGUGAAUGUAUUCGCUUUGCGGGCUCGUCUCUGCAGGGAAAGUACCUCGUACCUCGGCUUCCCCAAACGAACCGCGCAGGUGCCCUGCUUGGAUGAGUUCUUCGAUUUUAUCCUUUAAAGCUUGAAAUUCUUAAGUAGAAUGCCUGUUGUUCUGAUCAUAUCGACACCGUUUUCCUCUGUCGGCAUUAUCUGAGCUUGCUACCUUUCUAGGGGGAGGGAUCAACUUGACGUUGAGUGCCUCGUAGAAUUCUUCCCCUCUCAACCGUCAAAGGGUAUACUUAGAGAACCGGUUUCCCCAACUGUCUCUACGUCUGUCGCCACGAUGGCUCGAUCGACCUUGGCGCUCCUUCUCCUCCUUUCCUUUCUCACCAAUGGCUUCUGCCCGGGCUUGGUUACGAAAUUCCCUCAGCUCCUCCAGUUGCAUGAAUUUAGCUGCUAUUUUCCUGAGCUCGUCUAAGCUAGCGGCCAACUACAUAUAGAGAUUUUUGGAAAAGGGUCCCAGUCGCAGGGUCGUUAGCAUAUGGUGCAUGGCAACAUCCGGACUAAGGUUCUGGAUGCUCAUUGCCACCUUGUUGAACCUGUCGACGAAUGUUCUCAGAGAUUCUCCCUUCUCCUGGCGAAUGCCCACCAGGGUGAUGGAGGUCAAGUGAUGUGGUCGGCUAGUGGCGAACUAGGUCUCGAACUUCGAUAUGAUUGUUGCGAAGCUGUCGGCGGAAUUGGUUGAGAGUUUGGUGAACCAACUAAGGGUUCCUCCCUUCAGGGACGUUCGGAACACUCAGCACAACACCGCAUCAUCCGACGUGUAGAGACUCAUAUGGGUGGUGUACGCGUCCAUAUGCUCGUCCGGUUCAGUUGUGCCAUCAUACUGAUCCCUAUUGAGGCCCUUCCACUUGUCCGGUAGUGGAGCUUCUAUGAUGACGUUGGUGAAGGAGUGUCGACGAACCAAAUCAAAGGUAUCAUUCGUCCUGGCUGACUUGUUGAGACUGGAGUCACCAUCCAUCUCAUGGAUGGGAGCCUUGUCCUUGGUCUCCUCAACCGCUCUCGGGUUGGGAGGGGAGGUGAAUGACCUACUGACUACGUUCAUCGGCCCAACGGAUGAUCCUCCCUCCACCAACUUCUUCCUCAUGUCCUCAUUUUUCAUGCGGAGAGCCUAUAUUUCCUGCUCGUUUUUCCUAGUGACUUCUUCAUUUUUUUUCUUCAUCUCGACCAUUUCUCUCUGCAGAGACAACAACAACGCCAUCCGGUCGGCUUCGCUCAUCCUCUCCAUGCUUCGGGUUAAUACCAUCUACUAUUGCUUCUUCAAUUGAUUUCUCUCGACCCCACGGUGGGCGCCAAUUGUUCAUGCUAGGGGGAUGAGACCUAAAGAACUAUUGAAAAGCUUCGUCUUCUUCCUUCUUAUCAGGCGAUCGGUCUAUGCUUCAGGUUCCUCUUCUAAGCUUCUCACUACUCCUUUAGUCUCGGUUGUUCGAUCACUCGGUCUUCUAGAGAAUACCGGGGGAGGGGGGGGGGUUACCUACAGAAGGCACUCUGACGCUCAAGUCAACAAAGGGGGUUCGGUACUUGGUUGUCAGAGCACAGUAAUAAACGUACCUGCUUCUUGGAAUGUGUGUUAUUUAAUGAGCCUACCUUGUUGGAUCGGAUUAUUGAGGUGAAUCGUGUUUAGAGGUGUAUUACCUAGUUCUUAAUGAUGACUUAGCUUCACUUACUUUGAUUGAGUGUAAUUGGACCAAAGAUGUCGACCCACACGGACGUGGAACAUUUAGUCGGUUCAAUUGUAGGAACUGAGACAUGAUAUUAAUCGCUCGUUCCAUAUCAUUACAGGAAAAAAAUUUGAUAAUAAUUAAAGAGAAGAAUGUUUUUACAUAUAGUUAGAGAUAAAAUGCAGCAUUACGUUACUAAAUUGAAUCGUGCACCUAAAAAUCAUCUUAUUAUAUUAAUUUAAAAUCUUUUUUAUUAUUUAACUAUUUUUUUUUUCUUAAUUUAAAAUAUUUUUUUCUUAAACUAACUAGAGUUUAUUAUAUUUAAGGAUUAAAAAAGAAAAUUUAAAAAACAGGAAUAUAAAAAAAUUACAGAAAACAAAAUCAGAUACGAUUUAUAUUUAUCUUUAAUUCUGUAUUUAUAAAUAAAUUAAGUCGCUUUUAAUAAGAAAAAAACUUAAGCUAUUCAACUCUAACUAUUGUUAUCUUAAAAUUUGAUCUGAUCGUUAACUGUGAAUUCCUUAAUUGACAUUAAUUAAAAUAGUUAUUUUAUAGUGUUGACCCGGUUAAGGCGUAUAACUUUUCCUAUUAACUUUUUUAUUAUUUUCUUCUUUUUCAUUUAAUAAAUAAUUUUAAAAAAAUUACAUUCGCUGUCAAUCAGUGUUGGAUCGCAACAUUUAUCUUUUAUUUGGGUAGUUAAUUGUGUUCCAUAAACAAAAAAAAUUCAGAAAAAGUAAGAUUAAGUUAAUUAUUAUUUUAAAUUAAAAUCAAUAUAUACACUUUCAAUUUUAGGGUGGUAAGAUUUUCUCUUUAUGAAAAUAGUGUGCUAAACUUUAAUUUUGUGUCAUUUGAUUUUCUUCAGGGAAUAUCAAUUUCAUAAACCUUAACUUUCAUAUGAUUUGUCUUUAAUUUUUUUUUCAUAGUCACGUUGAUUUUUAAUUAUUUAAAAAAAAUCUUAGAUAUUUUUUUUUUUAAUUACAAUUAGAAUACUCACUUAAAAGAAAGUGUAAUUCAUCUUAAAUAUUAAUAGUUACAACUCAUUUUUUAUAUUUACGUAUAAUGAGAACAUGGAUUUAGAAAAUAUAAAAGGGAGGAAUAAUAUAGUUAAUAAAAAAUAUAGUUUAUUUUUAAUUCUUAGUUUAUUAAAUUUUAAUGUUUUGAUUAAUUAAAUAGAAGUUAAAAUAAAUAAACAACUGAGUUCUUAGUUAUAGUGUGUGAUAUCACCCUACUUAAUAUACGAACUAUAUUUGAAAUUGUGAUAAUUUUGAAGAAAUAAUUAAUGUAAAAUUGAAAUAUUAGUGUCUAUGUGAAAAAAAAGUAUCUUUAAAUUCAAGGUGUCUAUUUAAAAAAAAUAAAGUAUUGAAUUGAUAAAAAAAAAUUAGAAUGCUUAUUUGUAAAAAAUAAAGUUUAAAAGAAUCAAAUACUUUCUUUUUAAAUUUUAUGAAAAAAUUAUUUAAUUUUACAAAAAUAAAAUUCAUGAAUUGAUUUAACUUGUGAAAAAAUUAUAAUUUUUUUCUUAUAAAUAUAUGAAUAAGUUUAUCCAGAUAAAAUAGUUAGCUUUAAUGAUUUGACUAUAUAAGAAACGUAGUAGUGUUUAAUAGAUUUGGGGUAAAUGAAAAUUAAAACUUAAUAUUUCUAGAAGGUCAAAUCGAAGGAAAAAUAAUAAUCAGCAUACACGAUUCCUUUUGUUUUAAGAUUUGAUUUAUUGUGUUGGAUUAAGCAAUGUUUUUGCUCUGUUAAAAAAAAUGUGAUGAAACAUACACCUCAUGUAAUACUAAGACUCGUAAUUUAAAUUUUUAUUUAAUUGGGAAAAUAUACAACCAAAGCAGUGGGGUUACACACCAACCAAACCACAGAUUCAUAGCACUUCAAUAACCAACCACACACCACAAUUUUCUCUCACUUUUUUUUUUCACUCAUAAUGCAGAUCACAAGAAAGAAAGAAAGAAAAGCAGAAGUCACAGCCCUCACUGCUAUGGUCACAUACACCUGCAUCAGACAAGGAGGAAAAUAAAUCAGAACAUAUAACCUUAGUAAUCAUGUUCUGCCAUACACCUAUAUAGAAAGAAAAAUGUUUCUUUCACACUCUUUCAAAAAAUUACAUUCAUUUAACAAUUUAUAGGCUAAAAAUGAUAGCUCAACACACAGGGUGUCAUUGUGCUAAAAUGUAUAAUUUCCUUAGAUCAAAGUAACAGAAGAAAACAAGAUCAGAAAUUUCCUAAUUCAUAAUCAUGUUCCAAACACCAAAGAAUAAAAUCAUGGAGAAUAUUGAUAGAGCAGAGACAAGAUAACAAAAGAAGAGUUCACCUUAAUUAUAGCUUAACAUAUAUAUAUAUAUAUAUAUAUAUAUAUAUAUAU
rnacentral:lncRNA from 1 species